AAAAGUGGGAAAUAAUAAUGCAGUCUACCUGGAGCAACUGCAUGUGUUAACACACUUUAGCAUGGUACCACUAUGUCCACACACCGUAGACUAUGUCUUUGGCUAAACCACAGGAUGUCGCUAGCAAAAAUCCUGAGUGCUGACCAUUUUCAGUAUCUUUAGCACAUAUGGUAUCAGUCACACCUGAGAAUAUCCCACUGUGUUCUACUUGCUGCUUUGAGAACCCCAGUGCUGUCUUCUUUCUUAAUUGUAGACCAAUGUGUUGAUGACUCACCUCAGGUUUGUGUAUUGCAUUGUUUUAAAAUAUUUCUCUUUGUGCCUCAAAUUUAGAAGGGAACUCAAGACAGCAGUGAGGAAACAAGAAAUAGGAGAAAAUAUUUGUUUGCAUUUGGCAAAAGAGAAGCCGAAAAAGAGCCUGGGCUGUUGCACUUUACAACUUUGCUCCCUUCCUCCACCCCUCGAAUUGGGGUUCAUUUAUAACAGGGAAGCAGCUUGACAAGAAGCAAAUAUGACUUAUCUGUAAUAUUUUAUUUAUUUUAAAAAAGAAAGAAAGACUAGAACCAAAUCUGACUAAACUUAAAACUUACUAAUUUUGCAUGGUAGAAAGAUGAAUGUUUGUCAUGUGGGUCUUUAUUCCCUUCUAUGUUUAAAAUGUAUCUUUAAAAAAAGGUUCUAAAGGAAAAAGAAGAACAGAAGAUUCAAAACAUUUGAUCAGAACAUUUGGUACCAGCCCUUGCAUUACCAUGUCAGUCUAUGUGUCCCUGAGCAAGUUAUUGAAGUUCUCUAAGCCUUGUGAUCAUAAGACCUGUCUUUUAGGAUGUGGUUAAUAUUAAAUCAGAAUAUGUAUGCAGAACACCCAGCAUUGGACCUAGAUUCAUAUGUUCUUAAUUCAUGGUGGCCACUAUGGCUACUUUCUGAUUUCCCAAAAUGUGUCUGCUACAGUUUUAAAUGUAUAUUCUCUCCGAAAUUCCUGUUGUAACUUAAUCCCCACUGUGGUGGUGUAUUAGUCUGUCCUUAUACUGCUAAUAAAGACAUACCCAAGAUUGGGUAAUU
rnacentral:lncRNA from 1 species